rnacentral:rRNA from 1 species
GAUGAACGCUGGCGGCGUGCCUAAUACAUGCAAGUCGAGCGAACGGACGAGAAGCUUGCUUCUCUGAUGUUAGCGGCGGACGGGUGAGUAACACGUGGAUAACCUACCUAUAAGACUGGGAUAACUUCGGGAAACCGGAGCUAAUACCGGAUAAUAUUUUGAACCGCAUGAUUCAAAAGUGAAAGACGGUCUUGCUGUCACUUAUAGAUGGAUCCGCGCUGCAUUAGCUAGUUGGUAAGGUAACGGCUUACCAAGGCAACGAUGCAUAGCCGACCUGAGAGGGUGAGCGCCCAAACUAGAACAGAAACAGGGUCCGGACUCCGAGGAGAGGCGCAGGUAGGGAAUCUUCCGCAAUGGGCAAAGCCCGGACGGAACAACGCCGCGUGAUGGAUAAAGGUCUGCGGAUCAAAAAACUCUUUUAUGGGGAAAAAACAUAGGUUUAAUUAACUGUGCACAUCUGGGGGUUACCUAAUCAAAACGCCAGGCCCAACUCCGUG